GUGUUAAAAUCUGAUGAUGGGAAGAGAAAAAGAAAAAAAAAACUUCAAUAAUUCAGUUGGCAAAUAUCAAUGCAAAUCAGAUCUAAUUCUUUAAGGUAUUCUAGUAACAAAAACUAAAAUGUCACUCUUUGAAUGACAUCAGUCUUUUUUUCUUUAAUUUUUUUGGCCUGAUAGCCGAGUCUUUAUGCUGUUUGGGCUGUGGAAGACAGAUCCAGAUCAGGGGAUGAGAGACUUGAAAAGCAGAUGGGAAAAUAGUCACAGAAAUUUAGUCUUCAUAGAACAAUCCAGGAGACAUUUUAUAUUUUUCAAAACAUAGGAAAAUUGCUUCAAAUUGCACCAAAUUAUAUAUUCAAGAAUUUCACCUCGGAACAAAAGUCAUUCUGAUGAUAACACAUAGUAUUGAGGACUUAGCUGCCCAUUGCUUAUGGUCAUGUCUGUGAUAAUGGACACAGAAGUCGGCAGGGGGUGAUUAUUUGAGUAACUCUGGAAUUUAGACAGGCUUACUUUUGGAGUCAUCUAGGUGAAGAUGGAUGGAUGGAUUCCUGAAGAGACCAGAGAUAAACAUUUUCUAUUUUCUCAUAAUUAGUUGUGGUAACUAUGGCUGCUAUAUAUAUGACUUCUAAAAGCCCACCUACUUAAUAUAACUAAAUAAUCCCAUUUAUUUUAAAAAAUAGUUACUACGUUGUAUCCAUCAGCUGUGGGCUAUAAUCAAAUACCAUAAACUGGGGGAUUUAAUUUGCAGGAUGUAUUUUCUCACAGUUCUGGAGGCUAGAAGUCCGUGAUCGAGGUGCCAGCAUGCUCAGGUUCCGAUGAGGGCUCUUUCUGGCUUGUCGAUGACCACCACUUUCCUAGAUCCUCCCAUGACUUCUGCGUGUGUGUGGAGACAGUGAGCAAACUCUCUGGUGUCCCCUCUUAAAAGAGCACUAGUCCCACCAUAAUAGCCUCAGCCUUGUGACCUCAUUUUAACCUAAUUAUCACCCAAAAGCCUCAUCUCCAAAUACCAUCACAUUGGGCAUCUGGGCUUCAACCUAGGAAUUUUGGAGGGACACAAUUCAGUACAUAGCAUAUAAUAUCUGCUCACAUGAUGCUGAUCAUCAGGACUUCUGGCUCAUCUGUCUUUCUUUGAGCUCUGGGGUCACAGAUUUUUAAUUGCCCUGUUAUCAUGUUUCUUUAUGACUGCUAUACCUUAGAGGUAAAUCCUCUCUUAAACUCUGAAUAUGCAGCCAUAACCAAAGGACCAACUGGAACCAGUACUGCCACCCUAUUGCUAGCUCCUCACCCCAAAGUCUGAAUGGCCUAUCAGUAGAGCCAACCCUGGUUGUCUUCUCUAUAAUGCCAGAAAACUAGAAGGAGACCCAAAGAACACCCCCAUUGGGUUAUUCCUGUAACAUACCAAGGCCAGCCUGAAAGGAAAAUUUGUUUUACGCAUGUGUGAGCAGCUAUAACUUUCUACCAUUGGCAGUUAUGUUACUGAUUGUUGCUAGAGGAGAUAAUUCCCCCAGGAACGAUUAAGCACUCUAAGCUCUCCACAGCAGGCUGACUCAGCUGCUGCGUGUCAGAGUGGAUCACGGGCUCUGCUGAGGCUAGUGUGUGAUGUUGCUAAGCCUUUGAGAAUGUAUGUGAAUCUUCACUCAGUUCUAUUUCCUGUCAAAGGUGUGGUUCUGCCAAGGAAAUGUCUGGCAGCAGGAGUAACCCAUAAUGUUAUUCUAUCAUGCUGUGUAAGGGUGUGAGACUGGGGACUGGGAUGGGAUAAAGGGCUGCUACCAUGGCCAGUCUGUAAGGACUGAAUCUUGCUUCUGACCUGAUCAUAAAUACAGUCCUCAUAUGGAGAUAGGUGAAGAAUUAUUUCAAUAGAUCCAGAAAAUUUAUUAUUGAUCUCAGUUGCCUGAGGUGGUACCUUUCUGGGUUUGAAGAGAUUCUCAAUAUCCAUGGAAACACUAAGACAGGGAGUUAGCUCUCUUUCUUUAGGGCUUCUUUCUUAUAUAAGAGAAUUCCAUAAGAUUUGGACAAACCGUAAUGAAUAUUCAGAUCUUUUCUCACCAUAGUAUCUAUCACCACCAUUACUACUAUUGCUAUUACUACCCACUGCUACUACUACUACUACUGCUACUAUUACUACCAUCACUAGAACAGUCACAUUAGUUUCAACUACUGGUGUCAAUUGGGGUCCCUACUUCAUGUCAGUCUUGUCCCAGGUACUCUGCAUUGACAAUUUCUCACGUAUGUAGGAGCUACUAGGAAGCCACCCAUGUGUGAUUCUAUGAAUUUUCAGAACCCAAGUCCAGAGCUCUACAGGCAAUCAGCUAUAAAUCUUGAAUUGGGUCCAGAGAGAAUUGCCAAGGGGUAUUCCUGGGUUUUAUCAGAAGAGCAAAAUCUACCAGAUACCAGUAGGGAUUCCAUAUUCAUUUGUUUCCCUAUUGACCUUUCAUAAGAAAUCAAUCAAAUGGGCAAGAAAUAGUAUAAAAAUGGUAUAAAAGUACAUACAUAUAUACAUAUAUGUAUAUACAUGCUUAUGUAUAUAUGUUUAUAUAUGCAUAUACAUGUAUAUAUAGACAUCAAACCAAAUGUAUAUAUAUGUAUAUAUAUAUAUGCACCUACGUGUGUGUGUGUAUAUAUAUAUAUACACAUAUAUAUACACACACACAUUUGGUUUCAUGUAUGUAUGCAUAAUAGUGUAUGUAUGCAUAAUUGUGUAUAUAUGUAUAUGUGUAUAUAUGUAUAUGUGUAUAUAUGUAAGUAUACAUAUAUACAUUUGCUUAGAUUAUUUGUAUGAACUUGAUAUUAUUUUUAUUACUAGUUUUAGUGAAAAUUUGUUGCUUGUAUCACUAUAAUGAUGAAUAUUCAAUUACAAUGAAAUACUCUUUAGCCUUGGCCUGAAUUUUUACCCUCAAAGCACAGGGACCAUGAGUUUUCAUUCUGUUCCCGUACUAGAAAAGAAACCAUUUGGGACCACACUGAAUAUUAUAUUGAAGCCCUGAACGUCAAUUGGACUUUUAGAUUUUUAGUAAUAAAUAUUAUAACACUUUAUGAUUUCUCAGUUUGCAUCAGUAGGAAACUAAACUACAAAAAUGUAUCCCUGAGACAUAGUUGCAGUCAUUAAUCACACAGUUUUUCUCAGUAAUGUUUGCCAAACUAUCUUGACAUCUGCACCAUCAACUAACUACGUCUGUGUAUUAGUUUGCUAGGGCUGCCACAACAAAUAAUCACAAACGUGCAUGGCUUAAAACAACAGAAAGGUGUUAUCUCACUAUUUUGGAGGCCAGAAUUCCAAAAUCAAGGUAUUGGCAGGGCCACACUCCCUUUGAAGGAUCUAGUGGGAAAACUUUCCUUACUUCUUCUAGCUUCUUGUAACUCCUGACUUUCCUUAGCAUGUGGCAGCUUAUUUCCAGUCUCUGCCUCUGUCUUCACAUGGCCUUGUCUUCUGUGUUUUUGUAUCUGUGUGUCUCAAAUCUCCCUUCCCUUUCUCUUAUUAACAUCAUUGGAUUUAGGAUUCAGCGUUAAUCCAGGAUGAUCUCAUCUUAAGAUCCUUAAAUUAAUUACCUUUGCAAAAGCCCCUUUUCCAAAUAAGGUCACAUUCACUGGUACUGGGGGUAAGGACUUGUAUAUAUCUUUUGGGGGACCACUAUUCAACCUACUACAAUCUGCUUUAAAGAAUAAAAAGAUUAGAGAAUAAUGAGAUUUGAGUGGAACAAACCCAAAUGACUUUUGAAAGGCAAAAUGUGGGGAGCUCCAACUCUUGCAAUAUUGAAAUCAAAUGUAAUUAGAUCUUGCCUUUAUUGUCAAAUAAUCUGAGAAGAGAUUUUCUAUACUACACAAUUCUCUGAGUUUAUCUAUAAAGUCAAAGGUAUUAGAUAAACAGAGGAAAUACGUAACGCAAUGUAAAAGGAUACAAUUAGGAAGUAGGCUAACCUACAUUUGAGCUUUAGAUAUGAUUUGCAAACUGUGGGACCUCAGUAAAGUGACUUCCUUCAGUCAUAUAAGGAUCUACAAAAUGAUGCUAUCAUAGAACUUUCUCAUUACUGUUGCACACCGUAAAGAGAUAAUCUUCAUGAAGUACCUUCCACGGUACCUGCCCUGCUAAGCUCUUGAUAAAGGUAGUGGCUAUAUUGUUCCUCCAUUAAAAUUUCUGAAGUAAAAUAUUAAAAAAAUACUAUCACAGUUAACAAUAACAUGUUUGCAUCUUUCCUUCACCCUAGCACUUUAGUUAUAGCACUUCUUCUUAACCAGUCUUGAAAUGAUGGAUUUUGUUCCUUCAAACAUUGCUCAUAAUAGAUGUGUCAGGUAUCCUAUUUAAACCCUAAUGGUUGUGCAAAUAUCAGGGCUUAUGAAAACCCAAAUAUGAGAUAAAAGAGAAACAUUUAACAUAAUUCAGAGGCAAGCAGCCAAAGUAAGCUGAGGGCAAAAGGUUAGCAGAGAGGACAUUUGUCUACAGCUGAGAAACAGAAGCCCAUUUUGGUUCCAUUUGCAUGUACUUUCUUCCUGUCUGGACAUUUUGUCCACACAGCUGUAACCUCCACUACCCCUUGGCUAGUAUCUCUCUCAUAACCUUAAUCAUGACUUCCCCUUAUUCUCUGAGUGCACUGGGAUUUUUUUUUCCAAGGGAUGCUUUCCUGCUCCUCCAGCAAUGUACAGAGGGAUGUAGGGGUAUGUGGUGCAGCUGGGAAGACAACCAAAACUGCGCAUUCAAAAGGCCUGUCAGAUGGCAUCCAAAGCUUCUUUCAGCCUGGCUUUCUGCCUUUGCAUUUCUCCUUCCUAAUAUCCCCGUGUGUUCUCCAGUGUCUGGCACCAAGAAAAUAUUCUUCAUCUUUUUUUUUCCUUUUAUGCUCUAACUUCAAGUUCUUCUCAUCUUUAAAUGCAAGCUCUAGGAAACAGAAGACUAAGCAACUGCCCUCUCUAGGGCAUAAGUGUUAGUAAGCCACACACAGUGGAGUGGGCAAUUGCCAGGGGAGCCUGUCUCCUGCUGGUUUGGACCAGGGCAAGGUGAGAAUCUGACAAAUAUUAGCAGAGCUUCUGUGUGAGCUUGAUUCCCAUGACCUUAUGGAAUUCUAUAAUUUUGAUUUCAGGAUCACUCUAACUCAUCAUCUAUAGAAAGAUGAUAUUGUUUCAAAAGUUAAAGUCAAAGAGAAAAGAAAGAAAAGGAUAACAUUGUGAUGAAAAGUUCGUUAAGAGGAGGGUGAUAGACAGAAUAAUGACCCCCCAAAGAUGUCUAUAUUUGAACCUCUGAAACCUGUGAAUAUGCUACCUUACAUGGCAAAAGGGACUUUGCAGAUGUAAUUAAGUUAAAAUCUAAAGAUGAACAAAUUAGUUUAGAUUAUUUGGAUAGGCCCAAUGUAAUCACAAAGAUCUUUAUCAGAGAGAAGCAGGAAGGUCAGAGUGCCAAGGGAAUGUGAAGAUGGAAGUGAGGGUUGUAGUUAGAGAGAGAGACUUGAAGAUACUACACUGCUGGUGUGAAGAUGGAGAAGGCGGCCACAGCCAAGGACUGCAGGCAGCUUCCAGAAACUGGAAAAGACAAGGAAACAGAUUCUCCCCCUCAAACCACCAGAAGGAGCUCAGCUCUGCUGACAUUUGGACUGUAGCCCAGUGAGACCCAUUUUGGACUUCUCACCUCCAGGACUCUAAGAUAAUAAACUUAUAUUAUUUUAAGCCACUGAGUUUGCAUAGCAAUAACAAACUAACACAAGCAGUUUCCCCUCAGAGUUCUUCAUGGGCAGACACUCAGUUAUGUAAAAUUAGCUUGAGCUUUUCUGGAAGGAAAUAAAAGAUACGGAAUAUAUGCCUGUACAGAAUUCCUUUUUUUGGCAUAAUGGUGUAUAAUGGGGAAUUGAAAUGCUCUGAUCAGUGAUGUUAGCACAUAUUUUAUUACUGGUGACUAAUAUUCAAAGAAUUGUAUUAUGUUCAACUGUAAUGCAAAAAAUGACAAAGGAAGCUUUUCUGUUUUUUUCUUUUCCUUUUUUUCUUUUCUUUUUUUGUAUGAUCCACAAAGCACUUUAGGAACUUGCACUGCCUCGGGGUAAUCAUUGUGAACAUCAAUUAUCAUUGUACCAUUGAAGCACAGAAGCACCCGCUAGUAAUAAUAUUUCUAGGUGAUGAGCACCAGAUAAACCAUCAUUUACUAUGAUAUAGUGCCUUGAUUAUGCCUGUUAAAUUACAACUUUGGGAAAACUGCAUAACUGUUUCAGAAUUAAAAUUUACUCAUUUCAGGUAUUUGCUUUGAAACACCAUGACAACAGAAAUAGAAUGAGAGAUAAAAGGAGGUCCCAUGGUUACUCUUAAAUGCAGCUCUUAGAAUGCUGACAUGAGAACUCCUCAUCAGUGGUCUCUACUAGAAAAGGGGUUAGAUGAGGAUACUGAAGAUUAGGAAAUUAAAGAAGUAAAAUCUACAUACUGUAGGUGAUAUUUCAGUUCACAUCUCAUGCUCAAACUGCUAUACUGUGAGUUAUAAUCUUGGCAAAGCUUUCCAAAGUCUAAUCCCUGUUUAGUUUUAAAAUCAUGCUAUGCAGAUGAAAAAGCUCUGUAUUUUUUAUCUUCUUUUUUUCCAAGGAAGUAAAUGCACUCAAACAUUCAUUUACAAAAUACUUUUUUAAAGUGAUUAUCUAGUUUAGAAGAAAUGGAGGCAUAGCCGGGGGUCGGGGGAAGGAAAACCAUUUUAUUAAUGUUUUUAGAUAAAAUGCUGAGAUGUCUUUAUAGUAGCCAAUCUACUAGUAAUUGGCCUUGCACAAUAUUUCUCAAAAUGUGAUUCAGGGCUACUUAUAUCAAAAUCACUGGGGUGCCUGUUAAAUGGAGUUUCCUGGGGCCAUCCAAGACAACAAAUAAAAGCCUCUGAGGAUAAGCCCUAGGAAUCUACAUUCAAAUAAGCCUACUCUCCCUGUGAUCUUAACAUUCACUAAAGAUUGAGAACAAAUGUCCUAAGACCUCGUUUUGUUUCUCUUCAUGUUAGUGUGACAGGUAUUAGACAAGGCCGUUGAUGAUAGGAAAAUGGUGAGUUUUAGGUAGAUACAGUCCAAAAAUAUUUCGAUAUCAUUCAAUGACAGUAACAGAGCUAGUUUGGGAAGUUCAGGUGCAUUUUCACCAGCCACUUAGAACCAAGCUACAUUUGGAAUUCCUGAGAAAACAGAAGCUGAUUGGUGUGUUCAGACUGUUUUAAUAGAUGGCUAGAAAGAAAAUAAGCAUUUUGGAGGAAACUUCUCUUACACAUGACCUUGUAUGCAAGCUAAGAUGCCUACUACUAGGUCACAGAAUUUAUUUAAAAGAAAUGAGCAUUUUACCAAAGAUUUUGCAAUGUGUGCUAAUCAGAAGCUGCCUGUCAAGUUGAAGUAGCAUCAAGAGGCUCAGAAUAAGGGCUCUUGGGCGUUAAAUGGUUCCUCCCAAAUACCAAACCUAUUAUCAUGAUUGGCUGUUAUAGCCCUCUAAACGGCAAAGUGAUUAAAUUGAUCAUUAUGAAACCCUAAAGAUGCGUAAUUAUGACAAAUAAGACUCAAGUGCAGGGAGAUUUCUAUCUCACUGACUGGAUUACAUUUCAAGGAAGAAUCAAAGAAGGAAUGCUUUUAAAACCACAGUCAGCUGUGUGUGGAGGCUGGUUAAGAACUAGAUUCUCCUGAUCUUUACUCAUAUCUCUUUUGUAUGUCAUCUCAACACACUCAGUUCAGAAAUCUCUGUAGCUCCUAACUCUGAUUUUAAAUUCCAAUCCUAUGCAACAAUCUAUCCACUUAUAUUAUAACUCUGAAUGUACACGGGUUGUUCUUUUCUGAUCAUUUGUUAAGUGUCAGGUGCCUCUAACAUCAUCUUGGGUUUAUUCUGAGUUACUCUAACUCACUCUAAAUCAAGUCCUCAGCCUGGAUGUGCUCAUUUAAGUCAUUUAUCAUUAAUAAUAGCAAUGGCUAAAAAAGAGGGCUAGGAAAUAAGCUAUUUCUACCCAGUCUAGUCUACAUCUAAGAAUUGAGGACAAUAAUUCCGGAGACUAAGUACAUUACCAAAAAGACAAUGGUUCCCUCCUGGAAAUGCACCCACUAAAAACCCUUCUAAAACAUGCCUGGAUUAAUGACAAAAAGAUAUACCAGACCAAGAAAGUCUAACACAGAGUCAAGCAUUUUUUUCUUUAGCACUAUAGAGGAGACAGAUCAUACAAAUUCCAUUUCCUGAUAGAGUGCUUUUCAAUUAUUGACAGAUGGGCAAAGAGAACAUGGAAAGAGAAAUAAAAAAAGAAGCCUUUAUUGUACUUUUGGAAAUGAGCAGCUAGAUGUAAUACUAAUGUAGUGACCACUAACAAGCUUCAUUGCAAUAUCAAGCUUUGUUAUUAGUAAAAAAUAAAGUACUAUUUACGGAAUACUAAUAUUUUUCUAAUUACCAAUAUCUUCUUUUAAAAAGUCCCUUUUAAGAAUGUGGUGUGAGGUACAAUGCAAAUUAUAGUUGUGGUGGUUGAUAUUUCCUUGGAACAGAAAAUCACCAGGAAUGUGGUUAGCAUUUAUUUUCUCUGUUCAUAUGGUACACAGGACGUAAGCUAUUCACUUUUCUAUUUUUCCUUUUUUUCUUUUCUUCUCUUCUAUGAAUUGCUUUCACUUUCUUCAGUUCUAUUUACCACAUAACUUGAACUAUACUCUCAUCCUGUGAACGACUCAUUUAGUGUGAAAAUUGAAUGCCCUUUAAGAAAUGAAUUGUCAGUGUUUGAUAUCACUAUGCUCCUCUCAUUUAGAAAAACGCUAUGGUUUUAUUGGUGAGAAGGGAAUAUAGCAAGAGAAAGGGAGUCAAAACAUCCUCGAGAAUGAAAGAGUUUUAAUUGUUUUCAAGUAUAUGUUAAGACUGUCAUAACAAUAUGGGAAAGAGAACAAAAUAGAUAAUGUUGAUGAAAAUAAGCGAUGACAUCUGGACCACUUUUAUUGUUAUCUCAACUGAAAGAACAACGCUUAGAAAAUACCAGCCACGUUGAUAAUUGAAAGUGUUGUUUUGCUAUUAAAAAUGAAGGAAAUCAAAAAAGAAUAUAAAGAAGUAAAUAUGUGUUUAAAUUUAUAGUUCGCUAAUUUUCAACAUUAGUCCAGUCUAAAGAGUUCAUGCUACAUCCACCCACAAUUAUUAUCAAGGCACUCUCUAAGUCGCAAUGGUGUGUACCUGUAAUCCCAGCUACUCAGGAGGCUGAGGCAGGAGGGUCACUUAAGCCCAGAAUUUUGAGUCUAGCCUGGGCAACACAGUGAGACCUCAUAUUUCUCUUAAAACAAACAAACAGACAAACAAACAAAAAACACUUUAUUCUACAGACAUUCUAUUCCCUACCCUGAUAUCCAACAUUUAAAUUUUGUUCCAGAAGCAAGCUUGAGAAACAGUGUUUCUUGUCUUGGCACUACUCUUUUAGGCAUGCUUGCUUCUGUGUGCACAUGAAAUCAAAUUAAACACUAUGUAAAAAGAGUUAACUAUGUGAUUUUAAGUGAAAUAUAGUAGAUCAAAAUGGAAAUACAUCACUUAUAUAAUGUUCUGAAGCAUUGUAAUGAAAAUUUGCAUGUGAUUUUGUUAUCUCAAACAUUAAGAAAUAAAGAAGUUACUCAAUGGA